GGCAGCCAUUUGCAAGCCAGGAAGAGAGUCCUCACCACGAACCAAAUCAGCCAGCACCCUGAUGUUGGACUGCCAGCCUCUAGAACUGGUUGCUAUGUGGAUUAACACCUCCAGCCUGUCCGAUAAGCACUCAUCAGCACCGGGAUCCAGUGACACAGCUGCCACCAGCACAGGGCAUGGAGUGUCUCUGCUUGGCCAGGACGCUGGGACUGAAGAAGGAAAUACACCAGUCAGCGCGCAGCACGCCAGAUACCAGCC